UACGGAGAGUGCAAGCAUUAAUCGGAAUUAUUGGGCGUAAAGGGCGCGUAGGCGGGUUUAUAAGUCAGAUGUGAAAUUCCAAAGCUCAACUUUGGAGCUGCAUUUGAAACUGUAGAUCUAGAGGAUUGACGGAGAAAACGGAAUUCCACGUGUAGCGGUGAAAUGCGUAGAUAUGUGGAAGAACACCUGUGGCGAAAGCGGUUUUCUAGUUUAUACCUGACGCUGAGGCGCGAGAGCAAGGGGAGCAAACAGG
rnacentral:rRNA from 1 species